AGUGAACGCUGGCGGCAGGCCUAACACAUGCAAGUCGAGCGGAUGAAGGGAGCUUGCUCCUGGAUUCAGCGGCGGACGGGUGAGUAAUGCCGAGGAAUCUGCCUGUUAGUUGGUGAGAACGGCCGGAAACGGGCGCUAAUACCGCAUAAGUCCUGAGGGAGAAAGGGGGGGAGCUUCGGACCUCACGCUAUCAGAUGAGCCUAGGUCGGAUUAGCUAGUUGGUGGGGUAAAGGCCUACCAAGGCGACGAUCCGUAACUGGUCUGAGAGGAUGAUCAGUCACACUGGAACUGAGACACGGUCCAGACUCCUACGGGAGGCAGCAGUGGGGAAUAUUGGACAAUGGGCGAAAGCCUGAUCCAGCCAUGCCGCGUGUGUGAAGAAGGUCUUCGGAUUGUAAAGCACUUUAAGUUGGGAGGAAGGGCAGUAAGUUAAUACCUUGCUGUUUUGACGUUACCAACAGAAUAAGCACCGGCUAACUUCGUG
rnacentral:rRNA from 1 species